AACUAUGGAUUCGUCCUCCCAUCGUGAGAGAGCUUGUGGGAGCCAUGGGAGAUCGGACCGCGCUGCCGGGGAAGCGUGGAAGGCCAAAUUUGUUGCUCCGAUCGUCGUGAGUCCCCUCUUGAGUCUACCUCUGUUCAUUCUUUUCCGUUCGCGCCUAGAAUUACUCAACAAUAGUUGUUUUGCCGCCGGCAAUCGCUCGUCGGAGCAGAGCCUCCGCCACGGUGCGAUGACCUACGCGGGCACGGGACCCUAAGCCUCUAAUGCCGGCGUGUGCUCAGCUAGGUGAUUCGGGGUGCUCCAAGCAUUGUGUAGCAUCAUCGGAAUUAGGUAGUUGGGCGCUCGGGCGCUGGUUAGUAGUUCGCCGGCGGGCGCCCACCGCGCAUGGAUCUCGCGCCGCCGUCACAGUGGAAGGGAUUAGGGUGAGGGGCAUGCACGUUGGAUCGGACGCCUGCGGCUGCGAUUAGAUCUGGCGUACCGAUUCGGGCCAGGUAGAUCGGAGCGUUGGAAUUAGAUCGGAGGGCGCAGAAUCAAUCUCGGUAUGAAGCGUUGCGGUCCGUUGAUCGCAGAUCGUAGGGCUAGUGCUGCGUACCGGUUCAGGAUGAAUCUGGAUCUAAUCUGCACCGUCCACUUGUGAUCGUGCGGCCCAGAUCCAUAGAUACCCAUUCAGCCUCGACAAUUUUAUUAAAGAACCCCUGGGUUUAUUGAGAUUCAACCCGCAGUCCUAUUAGUGGAACUCUGAGUCUUAGUGUUAUUUGCGCAGUGAACCCUAGCUUUUGUUUAAAUCACGUGCGCAGACCAGAAGUCAGUAAAAAGGAAUAAAUGAUUAAGGAAAUUGAUUUUUAGUAUGAAAUUAAUUGCAGAAACUUGUAAAAUUCCUAGAAAAUUCAAAUUAAGUCCAAAUUAAUUCGUUCUAGUUUCUAUAAUUUUGUAAAAUUAUUGUUUAUCCAAUAGUGCCAUUGUUUUGACAUGAAAGUCACAUUAAAUAUUAUAUCCUAAUUAAUCUUGUAUCAAACACAUAAAAUCUUUGGAAAUUCAUAACUUAAAAUCUAUAACUCCAAAAUUAAUGAUUCUUGUUCCUAUGUAUUAUUUUAAUAUGUAGAUUAUUAAUAUGUAUUUUGUUUAUAUGUUUGGUGUGAUGUUAAUUUCUCCUUUAUACUAUGCUUGUUUGCAUUGUGGCGAGUAGAAAAGCCAGUGGCUGAGGAUCCCGGUGUUCAGCAGGUAGAAGUUGCUGAGCAGGAGCUCAUUGAAGGCUAGUUGUGCCCUUGACCAUUUUUUACCCAAUAAUGUUCUUUAAUAUCACUUAUUAAUGCAUAGGUUUAAUUUUGAUAGGACCCAAUAGGUCACCCUAGAUUGGUGUAACACCCUAAAAUUAUCAAUUGAAACUCAGUUUGAAUUAUUAAUUUCUAAUAUAAAGAAUAAAUAUUUACAUUUUCAAAUAAUGAUGGUGAUAAAAAUAAAUUUAACAAUUUCUUGAUUAGAUAUAAUUUUGCCAAUUGUUUGAUGCAUUCAUUAUCAGAGAAUAAAUUUUUCGUUUGUUUGUUAAUACAUUGCGAAGAUUUUAUUCUCAUUUACCAGGCCCAAUUAGAUUAGAAUUUUUGCCUAAAACUAUUUAUCCUUUUGGGCAUUUUUAUUUAUAAACUAUCAUUUCCAAAUCUAUUAUAAUAUAUAUAUAUAUUCAUGUACUAAAAAUAAUUAAAUAAAAAAAUAUAACACAUGCAUGUCAUACCAAAAAAAUUCUUGUAAUAAAAAAAGAGAAAACUCACACAACUCACGCACACACAGGCUAGUGCAUGCUCAGCGUACUUACCGGUCAUGAUCAGCCCGCGCUUCCUCUCCCCUUUCAUUGACGUGUGGGUCCCCUAGCAUAUACCUUCUUCCUCCCCGGUGUUUCUCUCAUAGUCAUAGGCAGGACCAGAAAAGCAAGCCGCUGCCGCCAGCCACCGCUACACGACGCGCACCCAGCUGAUGCUCGCUCAUGGCAGCGCGGUAGUAGCCCAACAGUAAGACGACGCGUUCACGACCGUCCUCUGCAGCGACGAUUCUCCUCCUACUGGCGGCAAUCGUUCCAGCGCCCUGCAUUUCUUGAGUCAUUCCUUCCGUCAUUAAUCGCCAUCACAGUUUCAGUUUCCUCAUUAAAUUCAAGAGAGCGUCAAUUGUCAUCAAAUCCGCUUUAAUCCAGCUAAUCUCCUCUCCUCCAGUCUCUAUAAAACCCAACAACCCCUUUCCCUCGCCAACAACAGAAAUAUCACUUCCUGUUCGUCUUCCCAUUACGCCAUCCUCUGCUAGUGCGAACCCAGUCGCGCGUCUACUUGCUUCGUUCAUCGGCGAUUGUUCCAAGAGGCACGCUCGCCCUUCUUCUCCAUUUCCGUGCCCUGGCGCCCACCGUCCAUACCUCCAUGCUGUCCCUGCGCCGUGUCAUCCUUCCUAGUACCAAGAUUUGGGUGUAGCUGCACCAUCGACUCCAGCUCGCCAGAGUUCGUUAUUGCUCGCCUCUACUCGCACCUCUCCACAAGUGCUCAGUCCCUACCGUGCUGAAGAUCGAUGACGAGCAACCAUCUUGCCAUCCUCGCUGUUCAUCAGCACUGCGUCUUGCUCGCACGCCACGCACUGCGUCCUCUGCCCUCGUGUCGAAGCCUUUCACACCGGAGUUCUUCAUGUCAUUGUUGUCGUGCUGCUCUCGCCUCUACCACCAUCGCACUCGGUUGCUGCUGUCGCACCUACACACUGCAUCGACGAGCCCCACCUCGACGUCCAUCCCGAAGUCUAGAGUGCCUCGCCGGUGAACUGCAGUCGAGCUGCUAGUUGUGCCGACGACUGCGUCGUCGACUCCCUCGCGCUGUGCGUUGCCACCCUGCCGCCAGAUGCAUCAUUCCCUUGCUGGUGUUGCUUCUCGCUCAGCUUGUCGUCUAUUGAAGGUAGAAGAUAUGACUUUCCUAUGAUCUAGCCUUUCAUGUUGUUUAGAUACAAAUAAAUGGAUUCUUGCAUUAUUUGCUACAUAAGUUCAUGUGGAAUAUUAGUGUUAGCAACAAUUUACAUAUUUUCGUAAUUUAAUUUAAAUUAUGGUUGCUUUGUAUAUAGUUUUCUAAAUAAGAAAUUAAAAAGAAUUAUACCUUUAUGUUUCUUGUAACCAAAAAUAUGAGAUUGUUAUUUAUAGUGUUAUCUAUACACAAAAAUGUAAAUAUACCGGCUACACCUAGUUUAGCUUUAUUUAUGUGUAGGUACUUGUUACAAUUUUUAUUAUAAAAUGUAAAUUUAGAACCCGACAAUUCACAUAUUUUCAUAGUUCAAUUUGAAUUAUGGUUGUUAUACAAGAAGUAUUAAAAUGGCCUUUUCAAUGAAUAUCAUGUUUUCAUGUUCAUUAUAGAUGUUUAAGUAUAGCCGUAUUAAAUAGAAACUUAAAAGAAUAUGUAGACAUAUAUUUCUUAAUAAAACUAGAAAAAUAAACAUAUGUCCAAUUAAUAAAGUAUUUACAAUUUCUUAAUUAAAAGAUAACAAGGGUCAUUGCUUUUAUAAACUAAAAUAAUAGUUUACUAGGUGGGUGCCCGUGCGAUGCCACGGAACAUAAAUUGCGAGCUUCUAACGGACUUAGAGCCCUGGCAGAGCUCUAGGUACAUGAUCGUGCGUUGCCACGAGACAAGAAAAAUGCCCGUGCAUCGUGAUAUAAUACCCGUGUAUUGUGACGACGACAUAAUUACUCACUUCAAGUGGCAUAGAGGAGCAUCUAGGGCUAAUGGAUCCAAACAAGUUGUUAUCCAAGCAAACAUUAUGCAAACAUAGGCAGCCAUUCCCCAAACUCACGCCAGGCAGAGAAUCAACUAACAUGCUCACAUAAUUUUUACAGUCACCAAAAACAAAAUCAUUUCAAAAAAAAUACAUUCAACAUGAACCCAACAAAAUCGCAAAAUCAUUGCCACGAGAGUUAAAAAUUAGUAUAAACCAUAGAUACGGAACGACAAAUAUCACUAUGAUAUACAAAAUCCGUGUGAUAAAAUAUUACUGUACCACUAAUAUCACUAUGAUAUAUAAAAUCCGUGUGAUACGGAACGACAUCUUUAAUUUUACGCUCUCAAAUUCCAAAUUAUUUUUUCGAAAGGACGGCAAGAGGAUUGCUGAAUAUAUUAAUAGAAGGAGAAAAACCAAAUACAGGGACUACUGGCCAGCAAGGGACCAACUACAGCCUAUUCAAGAAAAAAUUAGAUAUAUGAUCUCCUCAAACAUCGGGGAGGUCGCGUCCAUAUUCCUGACAUCGGCUUUGGGUAUUCCAGAAGGUCUCAUCCCAGUGCAACUACUAUGGGUCAAUCUAGUUACAGAUGGCCCUCCAGCGACUGCUUUGGGGUUCAACCCGCUAGAUAAAGAUAUCAUGAAGAAACCCUCCUCGAAGAAGUGAUGACUCGUUGAUCACUCCUUGGAUCUUGUUUCGCUAUAUGGUUAUUGGCCUUUAUGUUGGGGUUGCAACAGUGGGAAUCUUCAUCAUCUGGUACACGCAUGACAGCUUCAUGGGAAUUGACCUGGCUAGUGAUGGUCAUACACUUGUGUCGUACUCCCAGCUCUCAAACUGGGACCAGUGCUCCUCAUGGGAGGGCUUCAAGGUGUCGCCAUUCACCGCAGGAGCGAGGACAUUCAGCUUCGAUGCAAAUCCAUGCGAUUACUUCCAGGGUGGCAAGAUUAAAGCAACGACCCUCUCUCUGUCAGUCUUGGUGGCCAUUGAGAUGUUCAAGUUCCAAAUUAUCAAAGUGCACUUUCUUCAAAGCAACAAUCUUCAAGAUCACGGGCUCUGUAAACAUUACUAUAUGUACCCUGACCAAUAUGAAUAAACCAAAGAAUAAUUCUUGAAAACAAUUUCCAAGGCAAUAAAAUUUACAUGUGGCAAUCCUCACAGUGAGUUAUUUCCAUCGGAAGUACCCCUCAGGCCCUCACAACACUCGUGAACACAUAUGAGCACAUAAUCUCAAUAAUUCAGUCCAAACCAAAUUCUAGAAAUGGUUUGAAGUAUAUCAGCCAAAUAACAGUUCUCGUCUUUCACAGUUCAAUGUCUAGACUUUAAGUAUGAAUCCAGAACAGAGCAAACAGAACAAUACUAUUUGUUAUAUUGUCGCCUUAUUUCCAGAAAUUCAGCAAAAUCUUAGCAGAAAGGAAUCCUUUUGUAUCUCGAACUUCAAGUGCUUCCAGUACUGAAUUACUCUAGAAUGCCAAAUCUCCUGGAAACAAUAUUUCAAGGUCAAAUAGAUCGCCACCAGGAAGUUAUGUUUGCCCAUAUUGCAAAACGCUGAUGUUUCAUACUAAAUUACUAACUCACAUUGUCCUCUGAAAAAUUGUUCGAACUGAUUCCAAGCUGAAGCCUGUGUCUGAAGCUGAUAUUAAAUCUACUGUUGACAUUUCACCACAUGAGAAAACAGAAGACGUCGAAUACUACAUUACAUUUGAGGAUUAGGACAACGCCGGUGCAGAGUUAUUAGCUACAGUUAGGAUCAAAACAAGAGAAACGGCUGCUACGACAGAUCUUGCACCGAGUGAUUCCAGAGCUUUUUCCUCACGAUCAAGACUCUUUCGUCACCUGUCGUGAGCGCAUCUUUCUUAGGCCUCAUCUCAAACGUCCAGUCGUCCCACCUUAGCGCUGGUAAAAGUUUCUUGAUGUAGGUAACGACAUCAACUUUGUCUCUGAUGAUGGCAUAACCAUAAGUCCUUAGGAUGCGGUCCAUCUCGAUCAGAAGAUCCUCCAAGCUACAUCCCUGCUUCUCUAUCUCAGAAAACAGGAGCCAGGCAUGAAGGAGGUCGUAGGUGCCCGGGUAUGUCGAGAAUGAUUCACACCUUCAGUUAAACAGGUCAUAAAUAAGGAAAAUUAGCAUCAGCUAGCCCUGUGUAACGGGAAGUAAGGCAGACACAGACACACAGGACAAUGCACAAGAAAUUUCUUCAGUAGUGAAGAGGUUAGAAAUGAAAAGAAUGGUCUUAAAAACUGGAAAGAAGCAACAGAAUGGGGGCACCUAUAUCAGAUAUGUUGACAGGACUCAUUUUUUUUUGCGAGGACCCAUGUUUCUCGGUUUUGUUUAAUUAUAAUAACAAUAACAACGCAGUUAAUCUUAUAAUGGGCAGAAGUAUUGGCCUCAAGGCUCAAACACUACAUCCAUAUUCCAAAAUAUGACAGCCAAACUACAUCAAUUUCUGAAAACCAUGUUUACACGCGGUUGCAUCUUAGAAAUCAAACAAGAUAAUAUCACCCCCUUCCACACGAGUUAAGAAUUUUAUAUGGACAACCAUGAGAAAACAAUUUGUGAAAUUAUUUAUGGAUAAUUAAUUGCAGACUAUAGUCACAAUGAAACUCUUAUCUGUAUAGCACAAGACAAAACAAAUGUAAUAGUUCUAAUUUCUAGGGAUGCAAAUUCCACCUUGAAACAGUAAAAAAAAUAGAUGGGAAGUAUGUCAAAAAAAACCUUACCAGUCAUGGGUAGUCCCCAUUAAACCACGAUCAUAUAUAAUUUUUAGCUUUCCAGAUUCCGUGAAAGGAACUACAUUCAUAACCCAGACAUUCUUUUUCUUCAGAGAUGCUGCAAAUCCACCAAGGCUAGCACUCAUAUCCAUAACGUAUCGAAAGGAAUCCUUUUGUAUCUCGAACUUCAAGUGCUUCCAGUACUGAAUUACUCUAGAAUGCCAAAUCUCCUGCAAACAAUAUUUCAAGGUCAAAUAUAUCGCCACCAGGAAGUUAUGUUUGCCGAUAUUGCAAAACGCUGAUGUUUCAUACUAAAUUACUAACUCACAUUGUCCUCUGAAAAAUUGUUCGAACUGAUUCCAAGCUCUUCCAGGCGCGUAUGAAUCCAGAACAGAGCAAACAGAACAAUACUAUUUGUUAUAUUGUCGCCUUAUUUCCAGAAAUUCAGCAAAAUCGAGCGGUCUUUGCCGCUCUUAGCAGAAAUUAUUUACUAUUUGUAAUUAAACAACAUUUGCAGGGAAAAGACAAAAGUAAUACGAAAAGUAGUGGUCUAGAGUUUAAUUUCAUUUCUUGUAAAAGACCAAACUUAUAUCAGUACUCGACCACAUGAAACCACAACGUAGACCAUCACAAGAACAUGGAACAGUGAAAAAAACCUGACCAUCAGAGCGGAACCUGGUACACUACAAAUGUAGGAUCUUAAUACCAUAGAUGUGGUGCUUCUACCUCUCAAAUGGAAAUGCAUGUGUGUUAGUGGAUUUGAACAUAUAUGCACUGAAUAGUUUAGAUAUGGCCAGUAGGCACAUCAUAAAACAUGUUGAUCUUGCUUGCCUAGUAGAAGAGCAAGGAAAAACACUUCACAAUAACAAUGUAUACUACCUCCAUUUUUAUUUAUUUGACGCCACUUUAUUCAAUUUUGUACUAACCGGCAACAAAUAACAAUGAAUGGUGGGAGUACCUAUAUAAGCAAUUAUAUCAUGUUUAAUGAUAGACCCAACAAUUGCAUUUGACAUUACUCUUACCCAUAACCUGUACAAUUACACACCUUUUCUUCUCUGUCGUCAAACCUUUGUGUAAGCCUUGAAACGCUUCAUUCUUUAGCAGAGAAUAUUUCAAAUGAUAAAUUUUCCCUGUUACAAGAUCAAGUCAUCUUCCAGCCACCCUUUCAACAAGGAGUUAAUCUGGAACCUAUAACAAUAAAGAAUGGAUUAAAUGCACAAAUUCUACAUUCAUGAAAUCUAGAAAAGGUGAAUAAAUUGUUAUUCACAGUGAUGCUCUUUACUGAUUCUUGGCAGACAAAUAGGGCAUCACUGUGAAUAAUUGUUCAGAUUCAUUUAUUCAGAAAAAAACUAAAAAAGAAUAUAUGCAAGUCAUAUGCCAUACAAGUUACUAAGAUAUGUGAUUGUCCCAACCACUACACCCUGAAUGGCUGAAUCAAACCAGCACAAGUAUGAACUAUUAACAUUUAGGUGCAUAAAAACAAAUUGGUAAUUUUUUAGCAUCACAAAGGUAUUCGGAUGAAUCUUUCCAUUAGGACGGCAACAAACCAGCAGACGAAUUAGCUGGUCAUGGAGUGCCGGCAUUGGCUCCAAUCACCUGGUGCUUUGCUAGAGACCAGAGGCUUCGCUGGUUGGACCACUUCCACUCACACUCACAUCUGAGUUGGUUGCAAUAGGAGCACCUGCUAUGGUUGGGGCCCUCCAUUCUGUCGGACCCGCUUCAGAAGGAAGGCCACAACUAACAUGAAGGUUGAGUCAGAUAAGAAAUCUCUACUGUGGGACUGGUUACCGGUGGCAUGAUGGAAUCCUAUGGCUCUUUGUCAUCCCUGUGCUCCCGGAAGACCUUUCAUGGUGGCGUGGGAGGUGAGGUACCUGAAUGGAGAGGGCAGCCACGACAACACGAUGGAGGUGGCUAUGGAGCUGGCGCUCCUCGAACACGUUCCGCGUGGCGCGGCGCGGCGCGUGUGAUCUCCCUCGCGCUGGACCCCCACAGGGACACCUGCAGAAGCGGAAAAACAAUAGAAAGAUAGAGAGCGAGGGAGGGAGCUACGGAGGGCAAGAUGAAGGAGCCGGGGACUGUCACACACACAAAAAGAUUCUCACCCAACAUGCAGAGCUUCACACGAGUGGCCUUAUCCGCGACACCCCAUGUCUCGAGGGCCCCAUCCCCGAUGAUCCGCUCGGCUGCCGCCUCGAGCAGCAACAGCCCAAUCGUGCCCCACUCAUUGACGAUGCCCCCAUACCCGUACAAAUCGUCCUCUUCGCAAGAGGCGUCGUGGCGCUGGUGACUGGGAGGCCACAUAGGGGGCGAUGAAUGUUGCAUGGAAGAAGUCGCAUGGAGUAAUCGGGGAGUCAGAGUCAAGCAUCAGAGGAGGAGCCGCGGCGGUGGGUGCAUGUGACGAUAGAUAACCGCAGUGUGCCCGCUGCACGAAAUCGCAAAAUCGUGAGGUUGUUACUUUGUUAGAGGGGUAGGGUGAGACUCUAGUCCAGGACGGGAUCGAGGCGGCGGCGGCGGCGAGGAGGAGGAAGAGGAGCUGGAUGGAUACCUGCGGGGGGCGGGACGGUCGCCCCCGAAGUCGGAGGAGUCGGCCCUCACCCAGUGCAUCUGCUUCGGUUGCAGCUGCUGCAUCCUUUCCCUCGUCUCCUUGUCCUCGCUCCAACUCCCCAGUCUACGCGCCUCUCUUCGUGAAGGAACUGGACACGGCUGCGACCGGGAGGAUGAGCCCUGUACCGGCGGCUGGAUGGCGGCCGGGGGCGGCGAGCGGUGGACGGCGGGGAGUCUGGCAGGUGGGGGAGAGGGGAUCGAAUGAAGCAGAGAAGUCAGAGCAGGAGGAUGGAAACAGUAGCGCCCCACGGUCAGCCCAAACGAAACGACCACGACCGGAGACACACGCGCGACCUCGCCCACCCUGCCUCCCACGAUGGGCGCCAUCAGCGGCGAGAUGGAUGGGAGCGCGGGGUCGCCGCGGGAUGCAGGGAAGGAAGUCGGCGCGGUUGAGGGCGGGAUGCAGGGAAGACGGCGCGGGCGGGGGCGGGAUUGCAGGAAGGAAGACAGCGUGGGCGGGGGCUGGAACGGGGGCACGGUCAGGUUGGUGGACGCCCUUGCUCCAGCCUUAAGGUGUAGUAGAGAUACAUAACUUCCUUCUAAUGAAUUAGAUAAUUUGUUCCUACCAUAGAAUUAAAGAUAAUUAAUAGGUUAAUUAUCCUUUAUCAUAAUGUAUUAAUCAAACCUAUAGUCAAUUUGUUCUUAAUUAGAUUUAUGGCGUGAUUAAUGAUUUCAUAAAAUUUAGUCCACAUUAUAUACGAAUCACUUAGCUUUUCCUAAAGGAUAAAAUAAAGUAAUAAGAGUUUAAGUUCUUUUAUAACUUAAAAUGUUACUUUAUAUAUGAACUUCAAACAUAAUAAUAUAGGCUAUGUGUUUUCUAAUGAAAAUAAAAUAUAAUUGUUUGUUCAUUGUCUUUUACAUAAAAGUUCAUUUAAGGCAUAUAUCAUAACUUUUCAUAAAAUAGGUGUUUAAUAAUAAUGAUCUUUUCACAUAAAACCUAUUUAGACUUGUAUCUUAGUUUAUCAUAAGUGAAUGUUUAACAAUGAUUUAUAAGAUGUUCCAUAAUGCUUCUAAAAUUAAUAACGUGUUUCGUAGCCCAUUAACCUUAGAUAUAUAACAUAUAUCUUUUCUAAAAGGUUAAAAAGGUUUAAUAUUGUUAUAACGUGUUUUAUCAUCUUAUAAACCCUUAAUAUUAGACAUAUCACGUAUGACGUUUUAUAAAAGAUUAAUUUGUUGAACCUAAUAUUUGUAUAUUUUAAUUAAGAUAUUUUUAAGCUCAUGUCUUGUUUUAUAAAGUAUAGAUCACACAUUUUUAAAAAGAAUACCUAAUUAUAACCAUUACUUGCGAUGUUUUUGAAAAGCGAACACUCUUUUCGUUAGGAUUUCUUUUAGCUUUACGUAUGGUGAAUGUUGUAUGUUAUUGAGUGGUGUUUGUUCUUCUUGUUUGUUUGUGUGAUAUUCAGUGGUUGAUCUAGUAGUUAAGAAUCAAGAUCUAUUCCUAUCCGUGGAAGAACCUCAAGUUUUCAAUAAGCAAGGCAAGUGGACUUCUCCCUCUGCAUAUUCUAUUUGAUCCCAAACAAUACAUUUAAUAAAGUUUAUUCUUGGAUAUAUAUGCAUAAUUUGAUGGGUUACCUAUUCAGAUACACCUAACCUUUCCAACCUUAUUCCUUGUUUAACCUGGGUUAUGAUUUAAUCUAGUAGCUAUGCUAUUGCUACAACUUUAACUAUAUGAUGUUACUCCUAAUGAUGAUAUAAAUGUUCCAAAUGGUAAGUUACAUUAUUGUUAUUAAUCCGAUGAUUAAGCAAGAUCAUACUGUGAUAAUUGGAACAUGGAGUGACCACCAGGGAAAAUAGUGCAAUUACGAAUUCUAUCAUGGCUCUGGCUUUGGUAAUUAGCUUUAUAUGCUUAGUGCCUAGCAACCUUACCUGAAAUAUGGGCAAGAGGGGGGAGCGGUGGUGGUGGCAGCCCACAUUAACAUGGGGACGUAUUCUUGGCUAAGGUACCUCACCCAGGGGGCCUCCUGUAACACCCCACUGGUCCCACACAUUGGAUGUUACCAAAUACCCUUCCCACUAAACUUAUGCAACACAAGAAAUGGAAUAGAUAGAGAAAGUAUUGCAAAAUCUGGCAGCACCUCCCUUGAAAGAAGCAUAACAGGGGGGGAACAUGGAGUUCAUACAGGAUAUAAAAGACAGAUAAUUCACGUAGUAGAAUCUAAAUGCAAAAGUGGUGAAACACGUUCAUGACCAAAUAAAAGGAUAGGUAACUCAGCCCACCCCAAAAAUAGCUCAACCACCAUGAAAAGCUAGAACAUAUUAAUUCCCUAGACUUGACCCUCCCUGAUUAACAACAUUAUUAAGCAGUGGUUCCUUUAUUAAAGGUGUAGUGGCCGUGCUGCUACAUCCCUCUUUUCCCAAAGCAGAAAUCAGGUGCCUGCAUUAAACAAUGCAAGAGUGAGAUGACACAUCUCAGCAAGUAAACAGAGCAAACCACAAUUGGACAAUGUAAACCAACUGUGCUUAAACAACCACGUAGUUCAAAACUUCCUUCUUGAAUAAUAAUUUGCAGCAAGUAAGAAAGUAACUAAUUACUUAACACCAAGAAGAGUCACAAUGUAAAAAUCCACACUAUCCACAUCCACAUAAUAAAUUCCACACCUCUCCCAUGAAUGCACAGGGCUACAGAUGCAGUAAUGACUUCUGUCUUCAUAUCUCCGAGGAUAUGAAGCUGCAUCAUACCCCUUCUCGGGCAACAUAUGAUGCUCAAUGUACGGUCGGACCAUAAGAUCACGACGAACUUCCUUGCAAUGAAUAAUGAAUGCAUUAUGCAUGACAACAACAUGAGUUCUUCCCAAAUAAAAUGUGCUAGACAUAUACUUCCACCCAUUCCACAUAAUAACCACUUGAGUAACAUGAUCAAACCACAAACUCAACAUAUGUAAUCAAUAAAACACGAAUAUCUUCAAAUGAUGGUACUCAAUUAAAAAUAUGAAUACGAACACAAUAGCACAACAUAAUCAAGUAUAAGACUCUUCAUUCGACAGACGGAAUAACCAUCACUGUUUUACUUGCCUUCACCGAAAGUUUGGGCAAAUCCCUAAGUAGAUCCGAGCGGUGGUGGAGAUUUGCACCACGCGACGUAGAUCCAAGCGGCAGGGAAUGGCACCUUGGGAGGAGGAGAUGGGGGGGCGGCUAGGGUUAGGUGGUGUGACUGCAAGGGUUUGAGGGAGGAGGAGAUGGGAGGGGUAGGAGGCGGCCAAAGGUUAGGGGAAUGGGGGGGCGGGCGGCUGCACAAAGGAAGGGGGGGGGUUAGGGGGAGGGCGGCUAGGGUUAGGGGAGGUUAGUGGGCCGAAUCAAGAUUCACGGCCCAACUCGCCCACGCAACAGCUCCCGCCCCUGUUGCAAGCGCCUAACCAAAGGAAUUCUAGUGCCCUACUGGUGAAUGUUUUCCACAAAUUCCAAAUCCCCAAAAUGCAUCAACCGAAUGAGAAAAAACAAAAAAAAGAAUAACCUCCAACUUCUCUUCUUUGCAAACCGGGUAUCACACUCUACCCCCCUUAAAAAGAAUUCGACCUCGAAUUCUGACGCUUCUAUCGGAACGACAAAAGGAAAGAUUAAAGAAUCAACAACACUUACCCACAACGAAAAGUUCCGGAUACUUCUGCCGCAUCAGGUCCUCAAGUUCCCACGUAGCCUCGCGCUCAGACUGAUUAGUCCAUAAGACCUUGACAUACUUAAUUGAUCUCUUCCUCAAUACACGCUCCGAGAAUUCCAAUAUACGCACCGGACGACACUCCAAAGUCAGAUCCUGCUGCACAGCAAUUGGUUCCAUCUCAAUCUGAUGGUCCGGAUCCCGCAAGAACUUCCUCAACAUAGAGACAUGAAAAACCGGGUGUACCCCUGCCAUGGAAUCCGGCAGCAGCAAGCAAUAAGCUAGGCUACCCACUCGGGUCAAGAUAGUGAACGUUCCAAUGUACCUCGAGCUGAGCUUUCCAGAGACACCGAACCGAACAACUCCUUUAGUAGGUGAUACCCUGAGAAGGACUUGGUCACCCACUGCAAAUUCCAAAUCCCGCCUCCUCACAUCAGCAUAACUCUUCUGACGGCUCUGAGCUACCAAAAUAUUCUGACGAAUUUCCCGAACCUUUUUAGAAGUCUGCUGAACCCAAUCAGGACCAACCAGGGAUCUCUCUCCCAAAGUCUCCCAGUAGAGAGGGGAGAUACACCGCCUACCGUACAAAGCCUCAAACGGUGCCAUCUUGAUGCUAGCCUGGUAGCUGUUGUUAUAAGCAAACUCUGCCAAUGCAAGAUGAUCCUCCCAGCUACCCUUCCAUGAUAGAACACAAGCGCGCAACAUAUCUUCCGAGGUUUGGAUCGUUUGCUCUGACUGACCAUCAGUCUGAGGGUGAAAAGUGACACUAAGUGAAAGCUUGGUGCCCAAUGCACUAUGAAGACUCUCCCAGAAUUUGGAUACAAAUUUGGAGUCUCGAUCAAAAACAAUGGACUUAGGUACCCCGUGAAGCCUGACUACUUCCUUCAUAUACAAGGGAACCAAAUCUGAAGCUGAAUUUGUGGUCUUCAUGGGAAUAAAAUGUGCAGACUUAGUCAAGCGAUCCACUACCAUCCAUAUAGCAUCCCUGCCCCGAGGGGAACGAGGUAGACCCACCACAAAAUCCAUGGUGAUAUGCUCUCAUUUCCACUCUGGAAUUUCUAAUGGCUUCAGUAAACCUGCAGGCCGCUUAUGCUCGGCCUUCACGCGUUGACAUACUUCACAGGCGGCCACAUACUUAGAAACGUCAACCUUCAUCCGCUUCCACCAGAAGUUUUGCUUCAAAUCUCGGUACAUUUUGGUUUUGCCAGGGUCAACGGUGUAAGUUGUUUUAUGAGCUUCUCUCAAGAUAUCCAUCUUCACCUCUGAUUUCUGAGGCACACAAAGACGGCCCCUGAAACGAACCAAAUCAUUCUCAUCAAUGGUGAACUCCCGUGGUUUACCAUCACCAACCCUCUUUCGAGCUUCCUGCAAUAGACGAUCCUGCUGCUGAGCUGCACACACUCUCUCCAUGAGGGAGGAUUGAAUAAGCAUCCGAGUCUCCUCGCUAGCGGUGCCGACAUAACACAAAGCGAUCCCCAAAUGGUCCAGAUCAGCGAUCAACAGCAAGGCCACUUUUGGAACCCCGAACCUGCUAAGGGCAUCAGCCACUACAUUAGUCUUCCCCGGGUGAUAAUGAAUGGACAAAUCAUAAUCUUUAAUCAAUUCAAGCCACCGACGCUGCCUCAAAUUCAGCUCCUUCUGAGUAAAAAUAUACUUGAGACUUUUAUGAUCGGUGUAAAUGUCACAAGCCUCGCCAUAAAGAUAAUGCCUCCACGACUUUAGAGCAAAAACCACCGCGGCCAAUUCAAGAUCAUGAGUUGGGUAAUUCCCCUCAUGCUUCCUCAACUGCCUUGAGCCAUAAGCAAUCACUCUGCCUUCCUGCAUCAACACACAACCAAGACCAAUAUGUGAAGCAUCCGUAUAAAACUGUGAAACGCUUAUCGCUCUCAGGCAAAGCUAGGAUAGGGGCAUCCACCAACUUGCUCUUCAAUGUCUGAUAACUGACCUCGCAAUCGCCAGACCAGAUGAAGGGAACACCCUUCUCCAAGAGUCUAGUCAGAGGCUUAGCAAUGCUGGAAAAAUUUGGUAUGAAGCGCCGAUAAUAUCCAGCGAGCCCCACGAAACUUCGGAUUUCAGAGACACUAGAGGGUCUCUUCCACUCCACCACAGCCGCAACAUUCUUGGGAUCAACCGCAAUGCCCUGUUGAUUAAUCACGUGCCCCAGGAAAGCCACUUCGGACAGCCAAAAGCCACACUUCUUCAACUUGCCAUAGAACUGAUUCUUCCUUAGGGCACCCAGAACGAGACGGAGAUGCUGCUCAUGCUCGACCUUGGUCUUUCAAUAAAUCAGAAUAUCAUCCAGGAACAUGACCACAAAGUCGUCCAGGAAUUCAUGCAACAUCCUAUUCAUUGCUUCCAUAAAAGCAGCAGGGGCAUUAGUUAAGCCAAAAGACAUGACUAUGAACUCAUAAUGCCCAUACCUGGUGCAAAAAGCAGUCUUCUCAAUAUCCUUCUCACGAGUUCAAAUCAAUUUUGGAGAACACCCGGGCACCCCUCAACUAUUCAAAGAGGACCUCAAUACGGGGAAGAAGAUAUUUAUUCUUGAUUGUCACUUGAUUCAAAGCGCGAUAAUCCACACACAACCGCUUGCUUUUAUUCUUCUUCUCAACAAACAAUACUGGGGAAGCCCAUGGAGACCUGCUAGGCCUAAUGAAACGCUUAGCUAGCAGAUCAUCCAAUUGCUGCUUCAAUUCAACCUGCUCCUUUGGGGCCAUUGGAUACGGGGCCUUAUGAAUAGGCUGCGUACCCGGAAUCAGCUUAAUCUCAAAAGCUGCAUCGUGCUCCGGAGGAAUGCCUGGAAGCUCUGCCGGAAACACGUCAGCAAAGUCACACACCACCCAGAUGUCCUGCACCCGCAAGGCAGCCUCACCCUCCACCACCAUGGAGAAAAAGAUCCCCGACUUCCUUGAUCGGUGAUCUGGAAGCAAUUGUGCCAACAAGGAUAACGUGAACUUUGGGGAACUUCCCAAGAAUACCACCUCCUUACCCGACGGCGCCUGCAAUAACACUGUCUUGCAAAAACAGGAUAUAACUGCGUGAUACUGGGAUAACCAAUCCAUACCCAAGAUAACAUCGAAUGCCCCCAAGGAAAUCACCGCCAGAUUGGCCGAAAAGACCUCAUCAGCAAGAAUGACGGAACACCCCUAACAAACUGAACAGCUACUAAUGGAGCCAUUAGCAGAACUAACCAAAAUUGGGUGACCCAACCUCUGCACCGAAAGACUAGCCCGCGACACAAAAUCCUCCGAAACAAACGAAUAGCUAGCGCCAGAGUCAAAAAGAGCAUGCGCCGCAAACGAAUCAACUGAAAUCGUACCUGUCACCACGUCUCCUUGCUCUCUGCCAUCCGCAGCGGGUAGCACAUAAGCUCCAGAAAUACCCACAGAAGAGGAAGCUCCCGGAGUGAAAUUAACAGAAGAACCCCACUGAGCCGCCGGGUGAGGCAGACACGGAGCUCCAAACUGAGACGACAUAGGAGUAGACGGUGCAGGAGUAGGUGCGGCCAGAUACUGAGGAAAACCCUGCAUCGGCAUGAACUGAGAAGUCCCAGGCACAUAAAGCUGCUGUGAAGGAAGAGGAACUGAAAACUGCUGCUCAGCACUUGACAUCAUGUUGAUAGUGCCCUGAGAAGAGGAGGAAGUCACCGGCUCCCAUCUGAGCUUCCCAUUAGGAUUCCUCCUACACACCGCAUCCUUAUGGUCCUAACUUCAGAUAGAAUACCUGCCACUCCACUGGCACUCUGCACGGCGAUGCGCAUCACCACAGCGGAAACACACCAGCCCCAGCCUGGGCUUAGGAACAGCCCGAAACCUCUGAGUACUUCCUCCCGAAGUACCCGAGUCAGAAGAUUUGCCACGGUAAGGAUGGUGGCGCUGAUGCUGCGACUUGCCCCUCUUGUGGGCUGGACCUCCCGUGUUGCCCCUCCUCGCGUCCUGGCCACGAGGCUAAUGAACACCCGAAGACUUCUGCGACUCCAUGGUAUACUGGUGUUGCAUCUCCACACCCAGUGCCUACUCCACCGUAGUACGGAAGUCCACCAACAGAAAGGCUCCUAGUGCAUGCCUGAUAGAAGGCUUCAGACCCUGACGGAACUGGCUCGCCUUCUCCAUCUCAUUAUAAGCCACAUGAGGGACAAAGCGGACCAUCUUGUUGAAGCCCACCUCAUACUCUGUGACAUACUUCUUCUCCUGUUUGUAGGACUGCAAGUCAAUCUUCAUUUUAUCCAGGAAGGUGACCAGGUAGAAUCUCCUUUCAAACUGCUUGAUGAAGACAUCCCAAGAUAGGACUCCUGGUGAUGAGGAGUGCGCUGCCUACACGCCUCUCUACCAAAUUUGAGCCUGUCCCUUUUAGCAGCUGUGUGCCAAAGCGAACCCGAUCUCCAUACACAAUCUCGAAGACAUUCAUCUUAUCCUCCACGUAAGUCAGCCAAUCUGCUGCCUCCACCGGAGUACCACUGCCAUCAAAAGAAUCCAUCUUCAUGCCCAUCCACUGCAUCAAAGAAAGACCACUGACUGGAAGAGGCACCUCAGCCCCGCCACCUGGAGCAGCACCCGCAGGGACAGCGCCCCCGGGCACUCCUCCACCACCAGCACCCUGAGCAGCACCCGCAGGGGCAACAGGAAUAGCUUGCCUCAGAAUGGCCAACUCCUGCUGCAUGGCCUGCAUCUUGGCUAACAUUGCCGCCGGACUCAUCGAGUCCCCACUAGGAACUUGCGGACUACCCCGAGCCCUAUGAGGCGGCAUAGCUGCAGACACAGGGGUGAGAAUAAUAAGUAAAUAAGAUUGGCAUAACAUUUAUUCAGAUAAUGUCAAACUAGCACAGACAAUAACAUAACAUAUCAAUAGUAAAGCAGAAAUCCCAUCCUACAUGUGCAGUGUGUCAAUUUAUUAUUACUCCACUUGCUAGGACCUACAGCCUAUGCCUCUGAUACCAACUAUAACACCCCCACUGGUCCCACACAUUGGAUGUUACCAAAUACCCUUCCCACUAAACUUAUGCAACACAAGAAAUGGAAUAGAAAGAGAAAGUAUUGCAAAAUUCGACAGCACCUCCCUUGAAAGAAGCAUAACAGGGGGGAAACAUGAAGUUCAUACAGGAUAUAAAAGACAGAUAAUUCACGUAGUAGAAUCUAAAUGCAAAAGUGCUGAAACACAUUCAUGACCAAAUAAAAGGAUAGGUAACUCAGCCCACCCCAAAAACAGUUCAACCACCAUGAAAAGCUAGAACAUAUUAAUUCCCUAGACUUGACCCUCCCUGAUUAACAACAUUAUUAAGCAGUGGUUCCUUUAUUAAAGGUGUAGUGGCCAUGCUGCUACAUCCCUCUUUUACCAAAGCAGAAAUCAGGUGCCUGCAUUAAACAAUGCAAGAGUGAGAUGACACAUCUCAGCAAGUAAACAGAGCAAACCACAAUUGGGCAAUGUAAACCAACUGUGCUUAAACAACCACAUAGUUCAAAACUUCCUUCUUGAAUAAUAAUUUGCAGCAAGUAAGCAAGUAACUAAUUACUUAACGCCAAGAAGAAUGACAAUGUAAAAAUCCACACUAUCCACAUCCACAUAAUAAAUUCCACACCUCUCUCAUGAGUGCACAUGGCUACAGAUGCAGUAAUGACUUCUGCCUUCAUUUCUCCGAGGAUAUGAAGCUGCAUCACACCCACCACAGGAGAAGAACAGGUGGUUCAGGAGGAGCAACACAACGAGGAGUUCGACUUGAUCUAGGUGGCGUCUCCUAGUUGACUUUAUGGCGCCAAGGAUGGACUUUAGUUCGUUUUAUAUUUAUCUUUUAUUGUGUAAGACUUCCGCUAUGUAAUAAGUACUAUGAUGUUAUUGUGAUAUUUAUCUCUAUACACUCUGUUAUUGUAACGCCCCAAUCCUCUGGGACUAAAAUGUGAUACAAUUACUAGUCCCAGGAGGCUAGUAAACACAUUUAUACAACAGAUGAUUCUAGAUCUGCUUAAACGAGACAAACCUAUAAAGGUGGUGAUCAACUUUAAGAGUUGGUCCACAACUCAGGACAUAUCAUCAGAGUGGGGCUGAAGCAGCCCGAUAUACGCAGCGAAGCAAAUCAGCGGUACAACAUCCACAGGCAAGGUUGGGAACAGUCGUAACUCUUACCCGAUCUCCUUUUUCUGAAAAACAACAAAUAAGCAAGGGUGAGUACAAAUGUACUCAGUAGCCCACCUUCACCCACGGAAUGGGGAAAUCAGAUAUAAUGCAUGGAAUAUGUGGAGCUCAGGAUAUUUUGCAGAAAUAGCAAUACUUUAUGUAGGGUUGUUUUGUAAAACAUUUUGUUUUUUUCAAAGCGCAUCCUCUCCUAAAGGAGCAGGAAGUUUUUUCAAUAUAGAACAAAAUCCCCUGGACUAAACCAUCUAGGUAUCUCACCAGUUUCCAACUGGUUUUCAUUUUCAAAAACAACUACUGGACUUCCCGUCCACCAUAGCUCACGGCUCAACCGCGGACCUUUUUAAAACCACUUUUCUCGAACGCACCCCUUUUUUUGAAAACAAAACACUAAUUGCCAUACCAUACCAGACUCGUCCAUUCCUGUGGACACAGACUAUUCGAAUAGGUUUGAACUUUGCGCAGAGGGGUACACUUUACCCACUAGUCCGGCUCUACGAUCUCAUGGCCAAUGAGAGCCGAAUCUAAAUCUCUUUCUUUCCUUGCACGUCCUUACCUUAAUGGUUAUACCGGAAGGAGUCAGGCCACCGCCAUGUCCAAACCGGACAAAACAUCCCCCUCCUUAUUCUCCCGGUGCUCCCCAACCAUCAUAACCCUGGGGUUUGUACCGUACGAGUUCAGAUUAAGUGACUGCCCAUACAGUCUCGAGUGGUUGUACUUGUCAUGAGUACAGGUAGUGAAGGAUGACAAACCGAUCCUUAUAUGAGAGGACAAUCCUUCUGCUCACACCUAACCCGGCUGAGCCAUCACGUUAGGCCCUCCCCUAAACCAGGGAGUCCCUGAUCAUCCCUACUCAAAGGUGAUAAGGGUGAAAACCCUUCAUCAUACCCAUUUUGAAAAGCAUUUUCUUUUGAAAACUCACACCUUUUCUCAAAUCAUUUGUAGCAAAUAUAUCAAGGAUUGAUUGCGGCAAGCGGCUGGGUGGCCAUAAUAACUUGUCUCAAAAUCAUAUCAUGCAUAAAAUAACAGGCUGAGGGUUGUGGUUGAAAAAUCAUAGGUAAUUUAUGCAUCAAAGGGAUCCAGUGAGCUUGUCGUGCUUAUCCGGCGAAGGGGGAAGGGGAGCUCGCGGAACUGGCUUCUAACUCCACUGCCUGGUGUAGACUUGCAGAUCUGGCCUCCACGAGACGGCACAAACGCUCCGAUAACUAUGCAACAUGAAUAAGCAAACAUACAAACCAGCAAGUAUAUCAACAGAUAUUUAGUAUAGUGGUCAGAAUAGCGAUAUAUGGAUGGGUAGAGUCUUGAGUAGAAUAUGUGUCAUGUGGUGUUGAGAUACUACUAGUGGUGGAGCGGAGGUUCUUACCAGGAGGGUGGACUGGAGGCGAAGCGAUACUAUGCGUGUAGCCGGCAGAGCGAAGUAACUGAGUGGGUGGGGUGUUUGCCUUGGCUGAGGGUGUUGAGUGUGUGUGGAGAGGGAGAGGGUAGCUGGGUGUAUUUAUAGCUGGGUGUAUGUGGUGUAGCACAGUGAAGUUCACUGUUGGUGAGAAUAGUAACGAAUGAAUCGUCUGACUUAGUAUGAACAGGAGAGUUAUAGGCAGAAUAUGGGACAAGAGUAUUUUGGCAGUUUUCUGGAACAUGAACCAUGCUUAAGGGAUGACAUGGUUGGAUAGGAAAUAGUUUGAUAAAAAUUUAUAAACAAGAAUUAUUGGAAUCUGAGUUUGGAAUCCUGGUUCAAAGGAAUCUCAAAGUUAAGCGUGCUCAACAUGGACAAACCUGGGAUGGGUGACCAGAUGGGAAGUUGCCACUGGAAGGAAAAUCACAGUCACCGAAGUUCGUAUGACUGGAAUAUGGGUCUGGCAGGUCUUAGGUGGACUGGACAGCAUGAUGGAUGAGUAGUUGAAAUUUGGGGGGAUUGGAUGAUUGAGAAUAGUAACAAUGAAUAGUAACGACGAAAAAGUAAUCAUAGAUAUCGACGAUAAAUAGUAAUGAUGAUGAACAGUGUUAGUGAAUAGUACCAAUGAUGAAUAGUAACAAUGAAUAGUAAUGGUGACUAGUGAUGGUGAAUAGGCGUAUGAACGAACGAUGAACAAUGAAUAGUGACUAUGAACGAACGAUCAACGAUGAAUAGGAACUAUGAACAAACGGACGAACGAACGAUUGGAAUUGCGGCAGCAUAACGGCAGGACAAAGAUUAUCUGGACGAACGAUGAAUAGGGACUAUGAACAAACGAUGAACGAUGAAUAGGAACUAUGAACGAACGAUGAACGACCGAAUGAUCGAACGAACGACCGAACGAUCGGAAUUUCGGCAGCAUAACGGCUGAACAAAGAUUAUUUGGACGAACAAACGGACGGACGAACCAUGAACGAUCGGAUGAACGAUCGAACGAUCGGACGAACGAACGAACAAAUUAAAAACAGGUGGACGAACAAUCGAAGAAUGACCGAACAAUCCUUGUGCUAGUGUGUGCUUGUGUGGGAGGUGGAGUGGGCGUGUGGGGGGGAGAGAGUUGCCAUGAAAUGGCUUGGGGUGGCUUGAGAGGAGGCCCUUGCCCCUCUAUUUACAGCCAUGGUGGGGGAUUAGGGGGAGGGAUGAGAGGAUUAGUGGGAGAUUGGCAUGUAUUUGUCUUGUAUAAGCAUAAUUAGCAUGUAGAGAUCACCGUAUGACACCGGAGGCAUACAUAUACGUAUGAGCAUGAGGAAAGUUAUGAAGAAAAUAUUUGUAGGGACUUCAAAAAUGAUUCUGAAGGUAUUUCUUAGGAGGAAAAUAGUUGGAGAGUUAUCGGUGGAAUAUCUAGGCAAAUUUCUGGAAAGAACUUGAGGGGGAUUACUGGGGAAAUACUUGUAGGAUAUUUUGAGGAGGAUUUUGGAGAGAAUAUAGACCACUAUAUUUUAUUUGUUGAUAUCAACUCGCAAACAAACAUUUUGAAACGAAAUUUAAAAUUCAUUUUGAAUUUAGAGCGAGUUUGAGAAAAUUUCAAGAUUUGAAUUUUUGGGAUGCUACAGUUAUUAUAUGUUGUCUUCUUUGGCGCAUAUAUGAGAUGCACCCGACUUUGUCCCUUAAAUCCGGGUGUGACAAAAGUGGUAUCAGAGGAAAUGUUGACUGUUGGACGAAACCUAGAUAGAAAUGGACAAAACCCUUACCUACUUACCUUACUCUGAUUCUUUCUAUACUUAUCUUGAUCAUGUCUCACCUUUUGUUGUUCUACUCUGAUUACUCUUAUCUUUUCUACUGUAAGACAAGAUGGAUUUCACACCUUGGAAUCCUACAUUUAUGACCUUUUUAAGAGAUAGGAAACCUAAGACAAAAUUAAAACUAUUUUCUCUAUUUAAACAUGUUGGUUGAUUGUUCUGAUGAUAAAUGUCUGAUUUGCUUCUUUGAUUGAUUGAAAUAUUAUAGAUGGACAUCUUAGCAUGUACCACCAUAAGGUAAUGUAUUAGCUUUCGUAGGUAACACACUAAUCUACUUAGAUAAUAAAUCCCCCAAAGUAACAUGAUUCGUAAUUACUUGCCUUGUCUACAAAUCUUUCUUACCAUAUGUUUCUAACUCAUAUGGUCAAUACCAGGAAGGGUGGUGGAAUUGAUUGACCCACCAAUCGACACAAUCGGAGGAUAUUUAGACAACCACAACAACAACAAGCAGAGAUGGAUCCUCCAAAUCCUCCACCAGCCGGGGCUGAUCCAAUAGUUGCAGCCCAGAUGCGGAUAAUGCAACAGAUGACUGAUACUCUGGCGGAUAUGCACGCGCAGAUGUGGCAGGAACGCCAAGAGAUGCGCCAAGAGAGGGAGGAGAUGCGCCAGGAACGAAGGGUGCAACAACAGCAAGCACCACUGCCACCACCACCACCACCACCAGUUCCACCCCGGGACAAGCAUCGGGAGUUCAUGAGCCAUAAGCCACCGACGUUCGCCAGCUCUCCAGAUCCUCUGCACGCUGAUGAUUGGCUGAAGUGUGUAGAGAAGAUGUUGAUUAUUGCCUAAUGCUCUGACCGGGAGAAGGUUCUCUAUGCUUCUGGUCGUCUAACUGGUCCUGCUGCUGAUUGGUGGGAUUCUUAUGUUGCUGCCCAUGAUGCUGCUAAUACUAUCACAUGGGAGGAGUUUGCCACUCAGUUUAGAAAUUAUCAUAUUCCUGCUGGAAUGAUGAAGACCAAGAAAAAAGAAUUUCUAUCGCUGAAGCAGGGAAGCAUGACAAUCAGUGAGUACCGCGAUAGAUUCAUUCAGCUCUCAAGAUAUGCACUAGAUGAAGUGGUCGAAGAUGAGAGGAAGUAGGAACACUUCAUUGAAGGACUCAAUUGGCCUCUGCAGUAUGCUCUAGUGGCUCACACCUUUCCAUCAUUCCAGAGGCUGCUUGACAAGGCCCUAGCUAUUGAACACAAGCGUGUUCGGCUGGGAGAUUUGAAGAGGAAGGCGAUAUCCCAGGGUCAGGGGAGCUGCAACGUUCGUCCUCGCUACGUUCCACCCCAAGGUACACCAGUUCGCACUGGAGGAGGCCAGCGUCCAGCCCAGUACUCACCUCAGGGGACUCCACCGACUCGUCAGGCUGCCCCCACUGGCACCCCAGUGAAAUUCUCAAGACAAAGUGCUGGUACCACAUGCUACAAGUGUGGUAAGACAUGGCAUUAUGCUAAUGUUUGUCCGCAGAGGAUUGCACUACACCCGUGCAGAGCAAGCAUCAGACUCCAGGAUCUGGCAAGGGAUUCUCUAUUGCCAGGUUUAAUCAAGUCAGCGCUGAUGCUACUACUAAAGGAGCUGACAUCGCACUUGGUAUGUUUAUUAAUGCAAUUCCUACAACAAUAUUAUUUGAUUCUAGUGCUACACAUUCAUUUAUGUCUGCUCGAUAUGCCAACACAAAUGAGUUACCACUGAAAAAUAUGAAAACACCAACCAUAAUAAUUACACCUAAAGGGCAUGUUGAGGCAAACUAUAUGACACAUAGAUUGACAUUGACAAUUAUGGGAAGAGAAUUCUGGGCUACCCCUAUAAUAUUAGAGGAAAGCAGUAUAGAUCUGAUCCUUGGUAUGUCAUGGCUAAGAAAGGUAAAGGUCGUUAUACAAUGUGGUAGGGGUACUGUAGAACUCACCAACCCUAAAGGAGAAAGAUUUGAAGUUGAAACUGCAGUAACUACCACUACCAGACUUGCGGUAUUCUUAGUAGAUGGGAAGUUUGUUGGUGACAACAUCCGUGUGGUUAGGGAUUUUCCAGAUGUCUUUCUAGAGGAGUUACCCGGGAUGCCACCAGAUAGGGAAGUUGAGUUUGUUAUUGACCUCUUACCUGGGACUGCUCCUAUUUCUAAACGGCCAUACGGGAUGUCCGUAGAAGAACUAAAGGAACUUAGGAAGCAGUUAAUGGAGUUACAGGAGGUUGGGUACAUUCAUCCGAGUUCCUCACCUUGGGGAGCAUCGGUUCUGUUUGUAAAGAAGAAAGAUGGAUCGCAAAGGAUGUGUGUGGAUUGUAGAUCCCUUAAUGAUGUUACUAUGAAGAACAAGUAUCUGUUACCUCGCAUUAAGGAUUUAUUUGAUCAGAUGAGAGGUGCUAGAGUAUUCUCGAAGAUUCAUCUUCAAUCGGGUUAUCACUAAAUGAAGAUUAGGCCAUCUGAUAUUCCCAAUACGGCUUUCUCAACCCGAUAUGGUUUAUAUGAAUUCACCGUUAUGUUAUUUGGACUAAUUAAUGCACCAGCCUUUUUUAUGAAUUUGAUGAAUAAGGUGUUCAUGGAGUAUAUUGACAGAUUUGUCAUGGUAUUCAUCGACGAUAUUCUUAUUUAUUCCAAGAGUGAUAGUGAUCAUGAGGAACAUAUGAGAUUGGUGCUACAAAAGCUAUGGGAUAAUCAACUCUACGCCAAGUACAGCAAAUGCGAGUUCUGGACUGAUGAAGUGCCAUUCCUUGGACAUAUCAUUUCUAAUGGCGGGAUAUCAGUGGAUCCUGCUAAAGUCAAGGAGAUAGUGGAGUGGAGCAUACCCAGUAUAGUUACUGAAGUCCGGAGUUUCUUGGGAGUUGCAGGCUACUAUCGGAGAUUUAUUGAAGGGUUUUCUAAGAUUGCUAAGCCGAUGACCUCACUUCUAGAGAAGGGGAGAGAGUUUAAGUGGGACUCGAAGUGCCAAGAUAGCUUUGAUCAAUUAAAGAUGAGAUUGAUGUCACCCCUAGUGUUGGUUAUGCCAGAUCUACAGAAGGGGUUUGACAUUUAUUGUGAUGCAUGCGGCCAAGGCUUGGGAUGUGUGCUUAUGCAAGAAGGACACGUGAUUGCCUACGCGUCUCGUCAGUUGCGGAAACAUGAGUUGAACUAUCCCACUCAUGACUUAGAACUGACAGCCGUAGUGCAUGCACUCAAAAUAUGGAGAUAUUAUAUUAUGGGAACCAAGUGCCAAGUGUACAACGAUCACAAGAGUUUGAAGUACAUAUUCACUCAGAAGGAUCUCAACCUUAGGCAAUGUCGUUGGUUGGAGCUUAUCAAGGACUAUGAGUUGGAGAUUCACUAUCAUCCGGGCAAGGCGAAUUUAGUUGCACAUGCCUUGAGUCGGAAUGAACAUGUCCAUUCAGCUAUUGUUGCCCAGUUACCCGAUGAGAUUGUUGAGGAUUUUAGGAGACUCAACCUAGGAAUAGUUGCACAUACUGAAGGAGUCACUAUUGAUGUGGAACCUAUCUUGGAGCAAGAAAUCCGUAAAGGUCAGAUUGGUGAUGCUAAAAUUCAAGAGAUCAAGGAUCUUAUUACUGAAGGUAGAGGUCCAAAAUUCACGGAGGAUGAGCAAGGCACAAUAUGGUUCAAGGACCGGAUAUGUGUUCCUGAGAUUGACAACCUUCGUGAGACUAUAUUGAAGGAAGCCCAUGACUCUGAUUAUUCUAUCCAUCUUGGUAGCACUAAGAUGCAUCAAGACUUGAAGCAGAAGUACUAGUGGUAUGGGCUGAAGAGGGAUGUGGCUGCACAUGUGGCUAUGUGUGAUAUGUGUCAAAGAGUCAAGGUCGAACAUCAAAGACCAGCUGGACUAUUGCACCCGCUAAAGAUACCAGAAUGGAAGUGGGAAGAGAUUGGUAUGGAUUUCAUUACUGGAUUGCCUCGCACCUCGAAAGGAUAUGAUUCUAUAUGGGUGAUUGUGGAUAGACUGACCAAAGUGGCUCAUUUCAUUCCAGUCAAGACUACUUAUAAAGGCUCUCAGCUGGUAGAGGUAUAUAUGGCUCGGAUUGUGUGUUUACACGGAGUACCAAAGAAGAUCGUAUCUGAUAGAGGUUCACAGUUUACCUCCAGGUUUUGGAAAAGCUUUCAUGAGAAUAUAGAUACGAAGUUGAAUUUCAGUUCGGCCUAUCAUCCUCAGACUGAUGGUCAGACUGAAAGGACUAAUCAAGUAUUGGAAGAUAUGUUGAGAGCUUGUGCCCUUCAGCAUGGAGGAAGUUGGGACAAAAGUCUACCAUAUGCUGAGCUCUCUUAUAAUAAUAGUUACCAGGCCAGUCUGAAGAUGUCACCAUUCGAGGCUUUAUAUGGUAAGAAAUGCAGGACUCCUCUAUAUUGGGAUCAGACUGGAGAAAGACAGUUCUUUGAGCCUGAACUUAUUCAAGAGGCAGAAGAACAAGUCUGUAUAAUCCGAGAGAACUUGAGGGUAGCUCAGACCAGGCAAAAGAGCUAUGCUGAUAAUAGAAGAAGACCACUGGAGUUUGAGGAAGGUGAUCAUGUGUACCUCAAGGUGUCACCACUUCAUGGAUUGAGGAGAUUUAGAGUUAAAGGCAAAUUAUCGCCUUCAUAAUCUUUAGGCGAGUUGGGGAGAUGGCAUACCAACUCGAGCUACCUGAUAAUUUAUCUGAUGCACAUGAUGUAUUCAAUGUGUCACAACUUAAGAAGUGUCUUCGUGUCCCUGAGGAACAGUACCAAUGGAAGAGCUCAGUAUUCAGGGUGAUUUGACUUAUACAGAAUAUCCUAUCAAGAUUCUUGAUACUUUGACUCGAGUCACAAGAAAUAAGGUGAUAAAGAUGUGCAAAGUACAAUGGAGUCACCAUGGAGAAGAUGAAGCUACUUGGGAGAGAGAAGAAGAGCUUCGAAUCGAAUUUUCCCAUCUUUUCCCUAAUCCUUCCUAAAUCUCGAGACGAGAUUCUUGUUAAGGGGGGGGGGGGGGUAGGAUUUGUAAUACCCAAUUUGUAAGAAAAUAUUAAAGGAGACAUUAUUUCUUUUAUAUAUAUGUGUCAUCUCUAUUCACCAUCACAUGUGAACACCACAUUUAAAAACAAAUAAUUAAUAAAAGACAUACUACUAAAUUAUGCAUCAUGCUGAGAUUUUCAUUUUGUGUGCAUUUUGUGACAAUAUAAAAAUAAUAUAAAAAGAAAUAUAUUAAAGUCCAAAGUGGAAUUUAAGAUCUAAAAGAAAUUCUAGAAUUAAGAAAAAAGAAGAAAAAUACUAAACAAAUGAGGUAAAAUAAAAUAUAUAAAUAAGAAUAUAUUUCUUUACUCUAAAAUUUGAAUUUGGUACACUUUGAUCAUUGAGGAAUCUCAUAACAAAAUUUAAAUUCAGAUGUGAAUUCUAAAAAUAAAGAGGAAAAAGAAAUCAGAAAAAGGAAAUGAAAAAGAAAAGGAAAAAAAGUCUGUUGGGCUGGAAUAACCAUUUUUGGCCCAUUCUUCACUGGAUUCCGUGCAGCCCAGUCCCAAAGGAGCGGCGCCGACAGCAGGGUUCGCUUGGUCGGCCACACACUCACGUUCGCUCUUCCCCUCGUUCGCUGCUCCGCGGGACCCGCGCGCCAGCUCCACCGUUUGACUGCACCGCGUCCCUCCGCGUCUCUAACCAUGGCCCCCACACGUCAGAUCCCUCCCCAACAGAAUCGGUCACAUUCCUGGCAGGACCGGCACACGGCGCGGAAUCCUCGACCAUGACUGCCCUGAUCUGGUAGCCUCAUCGUGCGUAUAAAGGUUGGUUGCACCUCACGCCCGCGACCCUAUUUCACUGCCUAGACAACUAGGGAUUCGUCCUCCCAUCGUGAGAGAGCUUGUGGGAGCCGUGAGAGAUCGGACCACGCCGCCGGGGAAGCAUGGAAGGCUAAAUUCGUUGCUCCGAUCGUCGUGAGUCCCCUCUUGAGUCUACUUCUGUUCCUUCUCUUCCAUUCACGCCUAGAUUUACUCAACGACAGUUGUUUUGCCGCAGGCAAUCGCUCGUCGGAGCAGAGCCUCCGCCGCGGUGCGAUGACCCACACGGGCACGAGACCCUAAGCCUCUAAUGCCGGCGUGUGCUCAGCCAGGUGAUUCGGGGUGCUCCAAGUGUGGUGUAGCAUCAUCAGAAUUAGGUAGUCGGGUGCUCGGGCGCUGGUUAGUACUUCGCCGGUGGCGUCCGCUGCGGGUGGAUCUCGCGCCGCCGUCGUAGUGGAAGGGAUGGGGCUGAGGGGCGUGCAUUUGGCGUACCGAUUCGGGCCAGGUAGAUUAGAGCGUUGGAAUUAGAUUGGAGGGCGCAUAAUCGAUCUCGGUAUGAAGCGUUGCGGUCCUUUGAUCGCAGAUCGUAGGGCUAGUGUUGCGUACCGGUUUGGGAUGAAUCUGGAUCUAAUCCGCACCGUCCACUUGUGAUCGUGCGGCCCAGAUCCGUAGAUACCCCUUCGACCUCGACAAUUUUAUUAAAGAACUCCUAGGUUUAUUGAGAUUCAACCCACAGUCCUGUCAGUGGAACUCUGAGUCUUAAGGUUAUUUGCGUAGUGAACCCUAGCUUUUGUUUAAAUCAUGUGCGCAGACCAGAAGUUAGUAAAAAGGAAUAAAUGAUUAAGUAAAUUGAUUUUUAGUAUGAAAUUAAUUGCAGAAACUUGUAAAAUUCCUAGAAAAUUCAUAUUAAGUCCAAAUUAAUCCAUUCCAGUUUCUAUAAUUUUGUAAAAUUAUUGUUUAUCAAAUAGUGCCACUGUUUUGACAUGAAAGCCACAUUAAAAUUUAUAACCAAAUUAAUCUUGUAUCAAACACAUAAAUUUUUUGGAAAUUCAUAACUUAAAAUCUAUAACUCCAAAUUAAUGAUUCAUGUUCCUAUGAUCUUAUUUAUGUAGAUUAAUAUGUAUUUUGUUUAUAUGUUUGGUGUGAUGUUAAUUUCUCCUUUAUACUAUGCUCGUUUGUAUUGUGGCGAGUAGAAGAGCCAGUGGUUAAAAAUCCCGGUGUUCAGCAUGUAGAAGUUGCUGAGCAGGAGCUCAUUGUAGGUAAGUUGUGCCCUUAACAAUUUUUACCCAAUAAUGUUCUUUAAUAUCACUUAUUCAUGCAUAGGUUUAAUUUUGAUGGGACCCAAUAGGUCACCCUAGACUGGUUAUCCUUUUACCUUGUUUAUCCCUGAAUCAUUUGGGUAGUUAUGCUAUUGCUUUACAUAGUUUUGGGUCAAUAUUUCUUUAUAUCCAUGUUCCAAUUGUUUUGUUAUUUUAUUUAUGUUCAUGUUAAGAUCAUUAUCUUUAAUUGGAACAUGGAGCUUAACUUGAGAAACAUGUGCCACCACAAGGGUGAAAUGGGAUGCCCUUGGCUGACUAAUUAGAAAAGCUAGUGGAAGACUACCUUACCCGAAAGGGGCAAGGGUAGUAGGGGAGUAGGUGUGUAGGGAGGUUCUCGGGUUAAUUUUAAUGCGAUGGCGGUCAGACGAGGUAUUCUUGCAUUGCUCUUCCCAUAAACUGUAGCGGGUUUUCGGAAGCUAGUGGAACUUUAUAAAGGCCUCGUAGUGUUACCCUGCCUCGCUUCCUUGGUAGAGGUGUAUGGGGCCUAUACAACCCCGUGGUAGAUGGGUAACAUGACUUGUGGGUACAGGAUGCAACCUCUGCAGAGUGUAAAACUGGUAUACUAGCCGAGCUCAUGAUCAUGAGCAGCUCAGGACUCUCGCAUGAUUAAACUAUGGAACUUAAAUUCAAUUUGUCAUUUGCAUUGCAUGGGAUUAUUUAUUAAUUUUGUUCUAUUCUUAUUAUGGUUUGCUAUCUACUUACAUUUAGUAACUGCUAAUAAAAUUUGACCAACUUAUUAAAAGCAAUGCUCAGCUUUACCCCCUUUUAUUGAUCAGCCUUACACUUCACAUGAACUCCCACCUUUGGUGAGUUCAUGCACAUUAUUACCCACAACUUGUUGAGCGAUGAACAUGUGUGAGCUCACCCUUGCUGUCUCACCCCCCACAGGAGAAGAACAGGUGGUUCAAGAGGAGCCACACAAUGAGGAGUUUGACUUGAUCUAGGUGGCGUCUGCCAGUUGACUUUAUGGCGCAAGGAGGGACUUUAGUUUGUUUUAUAUUUAUCUUUUAUUUUGUAAGACUUCCGCUAUGUAAUAAGUACUCUGAUGUUAUUGUGACAUUUAUCUCUAUACACUCUGUUAUUAUGUGUUCUCUUCUUUGGCGCAUAUAUGAGAUGCACCCG
rnacentral:lncRNA from 1 species